CCUUGCGAAGAGUGGGGGUUCUUGGGAGAAGCUGGGGCCUGAGCAUUGUCUCGGACUUGAGAAGGGCAAGCUGAGUAUGGGAAACUGGGAACUGGUAGCGUGAAGACUGCGGUAGUGUGACAAGGCGGGGUGAUUUAAUACCAGAGGCUGAGGAUUGAGAAGGAGCUGCUAAUGGUGACUACGAGGUCCCAGCCUUGAUGCUGCGGAUGGAGAGUGGGGGGACACGCCUAAAAACUGCAGCGCGUUGAGCUAACCAGAGACCACCGCAGAUCCGGGCACACCCACAACAGCGCGUGCGCAGACCCGGUGCAUCUACUCUCCCUUCAAACCUGAAUUUUCUAGGCAUUAGAGGAAGAAACCGAUCCCUUUGUUACUAUCUGUGCGCGUGUGUGAGAUAAAUCUAUGCGCUUCUGAAGGAGAGAGGAAAAGGUGUGUCAGAACCUGUUCCCUGCUCUCCCAGGUUGAAGGUCACCGCUUUCCUACGCCGGGCUAGUGGUUUAGGAGGUGAUGUGACCCCUUUUAUUCUCUAAGGAGAGAGGCCCGGUGACUCAGGGUCACACUAUAGGGUAGAGCUCGCAGCUGUUGAGCGAGGGAGGGCUUGCUAGAACCAUCCGCAAGCUGUCAUCGCCUUUCUUUUCCGCAAGGAGAGUGGGGGUAGGACGGGCUUUAAACUGAAUUCUAAUGUACCAAGAAAAGCAGCCCAGAACAAAAGCCUUGUCUCCUGUGAUUGCCAGGGUGUCCAGCCUGGAACUCUAUGGCCAGAGUUCACCAGAUACGGGUGUUCAGUUCCGGGUGGGUUAAGAAGAGAGAGGCAAGAACAGUGAAGGUGUGUCCACAUGUCCAGUAUCAGGGUUCCAAGAACCCAGGCCCUGGUUUGGGAUUUUCUCACCCAAGUCUUCCUACAGAUGUUGAAGCGUGAAGAGCAAAGACUUCCCAAGGUCACACAGCGAGUUAAUGACAGGGUUCGGACUGUCUCCGAACUUUCAGGGAAGGUGACUACAUUCACAGCCAAAAGAGCUAUUUGAAGGGUGGCUGCUGCGGUGCUCCGUUGACCUGGAAGUAACACCGAGAGGGCGUCACCGGCACUUCGAUUAUAGAUGCCGCUGUGCAGCGGUCCUGCCUGGCUGCGCCAGCCAAGGAGCAAUCCCGGAGCCCCAGGGGCUCAACUCUAAACCCGGUAAUCUGAGCCUGCCUCUCUCACCUAGUGGGUUCCUUGUUCAGCUUCUGUUUCAGAACCAGAUCUUUGCAAGACAGCUGAUUAAAAACUCGUGUUUAUGAUUCUA